rnacentral:rRNA from 1 species
GAUGAACGCUAGCUACAGGCUUAACACAUGCAAGUCGAGGGGCAGCACAGUGUAGCAAUACACGGGUGGCGACCGGCGCACGGGUGCGUAACGCGUAUCCAACCUUCCCGUUACUCAGGGAUAGCCUUCCGAAAGGGAGAUUAAUACCUGAUGGUGUUGAAAUUCCGCAUGUUAUUUCAACUAAAGAUUUAUCGGUAACGGAUGGGGAUGCGUGGCAUUAGGUAGAUGGCGGGGUAACGGCCCACCAUGCCUACGAUGUCUAGGGGUUCUGGGAGGAAGGUCCCCACAACUGGAAAUGAGACACGGUCCAGAAGCCUACGGGAGGCAGCAGUGAGGAAUAUUGGUCAAUGGUCGGAAGACUGAACCAGCCAAGUAGCGUGGAGGAGGAAGGUUCUAUGGAUUGUAAACUUCUUUUAUACGGGAAUAAAACCACCUACGUGUAGGUGCUUGUAUGUACCGUAUGAAUAAGCAUCGGCUAACUCCGUGCCAGCAGCCGCGGUAACAC